rnacentral:rRNA from 1 species
UACGAAGAGGGCUAGCGUUGCUCGGAAUGACUGGGCGUAAAGGGCGCGUAGGCGGUUUGGACAGUCAGAUGUGAAAUUCCUGGGCUCAACCUGGGGGCUGCAUUUGAUACGUUCGGACUAGAGUGGGGAAGAGGGUCGUGGAAUUCCCAGUGUAGAGGUGAAAUUCGUAGAUAUUGGGAAGAACACCGGUGGCGAAGGCGGCGACCUGGUCCUUGACUGACGCUGAGGCGCGAAAGCGUGGGGAGCAAACAGG